rnacentral:rRNA from 1 species
CGUACUGAGACACGGACCAGACUCCUACGGGAGGCAGCAGUGGGGAAUUUUGGACAAUGGGGGCAACCCUGAUCCAGCAAUGCCGCGUGAGUGAAGAAGGCCUUCGGGUUGUAAAGCUCUUUUGUCAGGGAAGAAACAGCAGCUCUAACACAGUCUGCGAAUGACGGUACCUGAAGAAUAAGCACCGGCUAACUACGUGCCAGCAGCCGCGGUAAUACGUAGGGUGCAAGCGUUAAUCGGAAUUACUGGGCGUAAAGCGUGCGCAGGCGGUUAUACAAGACAGGCGUGAAAUCCCCGGGCUUAACCUGGGAAUGGCGUCUGUGACUGUAUGACUAGAGUGUGUCAGAGGGGGGUAGAAUUCCACGUGUAGCAGUGAAAUGCGUAGAUAUGUGGAGGAAUACCAAUGGCGAAGGCAGCCCCCUGGGAUAACACUGACGCUCAUGCACGAAAGCGUGGGGAGCAAACAGGAUUAGAUACCCUGGUAGUCCGCGCCCUAAACGAUGCCGACUAGUUGUUGGGAAUUUACAUUCUCAGUAACGUAGCUAACGCGUGAAGUCGGCCGCCUGGGGAGUACGGUCGCAAGAUUAAAACUCAAAGGAAUUGACGG